GAUCUUCACAAAACGAAGCCCGACGAUCAGCUGUUCGGCGGCCAAAAUGGCCGCCGGAAGCCCGGAAAUGGCCCAGAAUGGCCGCGCGCAGCGUUUUCGCGCCCUCGUUAAGCGAGGUGAGGGCGCGAAAAUGGCUGCCGGCCAUUACAAAGCUUCGUUGAACGGUGAGUAUUUGGCCCAUUUGGAACGCAUUAAACGAUGGGUUUUUUUGAUCCAUUCAACGAUGCUUCAGCAUAGCGAAGGUUAAUCUGGAACGGAUUAACCUUGCUAUGCGAGGCACCACUGUAUUUGCUGCAUUAGGAUGUCUUGCUUCUCCCUCUCUGAUUCCUAACCCAUGCCAGGGGCAUGGGCAUGAGCGUGCGUCCGUGCACAUUCUGGUCCAUCCUUCCUCCUCCACACCAAAUACGGAACACAUCCAGCACCACCAUUCUCUCACUGUUGGCAGUAUCCAAACUGCUCUUCCUCUUAUAUACAUUAAAAACAAACUGCACACAAACCACCCUGGAAGCGUAGAGGCUUCUCAAAGGUUCCUCGGCGUGUUCGCUCACUGAGCGGGGAUGGGAGGCCCGGCGCAGGUUCUCUGGACCAAAGCGCCGGAGUUCUCGCCUGCCGUUGGAGCCCAGACCGUGGAACAGUGGGGUUCGGCGGGCCCCUUGCAAACGGGACCUGUCCUUCUCUCCCAGGGGAGGCAGAACCUCCCACCAUCUCUCCCUUCUCCAAAUAACAAGGUUGUCUUUCUCUUCUCCUCCCCCCCCNNNNNNNNNNNNNNNNNNNNNNUGCUGGGCUCUGAGGGACUUCACCAGACUCUUCCGGUAGCCGGCGCCUCCUUCGCUCUGCCUAUCUCCCAGGAAUGUCUUAUUUUCAGAAAAGGAAAUAAAACAACCAAGAAGGGUGUCCCACAACCAGCAAACUUCAUCGCGGCCGCGGGGGUCUGACUCGCUCUGGUGUGUCCCACCGAUCUGGAAGAGACGCUUCACUGCAAGAAUGAGUCGGUGAAGUUCCUGCUUGUGAGUGAAAGAGAGAAAGAGAGAGGCGCGGGGGAAAAAAAAAGGCAAACCCGGGGGUGCAACUUGUCUGGGACUUACUGACGGCCUGCCACUGACCGACCUACAGCAUCGCGGGGGGGAGGGGCGCUGCUUUCCAGAUGGACUUGCUUUUAAAAAAAAAAAGGAGGAGGAGGAGGAGGUGGCAGAAACAAACAAAAAAACAUGCAAAAAGGAAACCUGUGAUGAAAUGUUUUUUUUUUUUUAAGAAAACAAGAAAAACAUGAAACCGUAGGGGGGGAAAAUACGUGGUUUUCCUGGCAGCAAAAAAAAAGGGGAGAGAGAGGUGUAUUAAAACAAACAAAAAAAGCAAAACAAGGUAGAAAACUUUCUGUGAAAUGAAAAUAAAAGAAUUGUUUAAGGAUCCA
rnacentral:lncRNA from 1 species